CAAGACCGGUGCAAGCGGGACAGUAGCCAUGCAGGCAAAUCCGUGUGGCAAUACGAAGACGUGACGCGGACCGAAAUAAAGUAGGGAAGCAUGUGAGCCAUGUGCCAAGAAAAGCCGCUAUAGAUCAUACCGUACCCGUACCGUAAACCGACACAGGUAGAUGAGGAGAGAAUCCUAAGGCCGACGGGAGAAGCAUUGUUAAGGAACUCGGCAAAAUGACCCCGUAACUUCGGGAGAAGGGGUGCCCACGCGAGUGGGCCGCAGAGAAUAGGCUCAAGCAACUGUUUAGCAAAAACACAGGUCUAUGCGAAACCGAAAGGUGAGGUAUAUGGGCUGACGCCUGCCCGGUGCUGGAAGGUUAAGAGGAGGAGUCAGGCAACGAAGCUCCGAAUUUAAGCCCCAGUAAACGGCGGCCGUAACAAUAACGGUCCUAAGGUAGCGAAAUUCCUUGUCGGGUAAGUUCCGACCCGCACGAAAGGCGUAAUGAUUUGAGCACUGUCUCGACAAUGCACCCGGUGAAAUUGAAGUACCAGUGAAGAUGCUGGUUACCUGCGCCAGGACGGAAAGACCCCAUGGAGCUUUACUCCAGUUUGAUACUGGGAUUCGAUACUGAAUGUACAGGAUAGGUGGGAGGUUGAGAAGCGUGGACGCCAGUCUGCGGUGAGCCGCUGUUGGGAUACCACCCUUUGAGUAUUGGAUUUCUAACCUGCGCCCGUGACCCGGGCGGGGGACAAUGUCUGACGGGGAGUUUGACUGGGGCGGUCGCCUCCGAAAGGGUAUCGGAGGCGCUCAAAGGUUCCCUCAGAAUGGUUGGAAACCAUUCGCAGAGUGCAAAGGCAGAAGGGAGCUUGACUGUGACACCGACGGGUGGAGCAGGUACGAAAGUAGGACUUAGUGAUCCGGUGGUAUGAAAGUGGGAUUGCCAUCGCUCAACGGAUAAAAGCUACCCUGGGAUAACAGGCUUAUCACUCCCAAGAGUUCACAUCGACGGAGUGGUUUGGCACCUCGAUGUCGGCUCAUCGCAUCCUGGGGCUGUAGCAGGUCCCAAGGGUUGGGCUGUUCGCCCAUUAAAGCGGUACGCGAGCUGGGUUCAGAACGUCGUGAGACAGUUCGGUCCCUAUCCGGCGCAGGCGUAGGAUAUUUGAGAGGAGCUGUCCUUAGUACGAGAGGACCGGGAUGGACAGACCGCUGGUGUAUCUGUUGGUGACCAACACCAUGGCAGAGUAGCCAAGUCUGGCAGGGAUAAACGCUGAAGGCAUCUAAGCGUGAAGCCCCCCUCAAGAUGAGAUAUCCCAAUAAGUAAGACCCCUUAGAGAGUAUGAGGUAGAUAGGCUUAAGGUGUAAGCAUAGUAAUAUGUUCAGCUGAUAAGUACUAAUAGGUCGAGGGCUUAUUAA
rnacentral:rRNA from 1 species